rnacentral:rRNA from 1 species
AACGCUGGCGGCAGGCUUAACACAUGCAAGUCGAGCGCCCCGCAAGGGGAGCGGCAGACGGGUGAGUAACGCGUGGGAAUCUACCCAUCCCUACGGAAUAACGCAUGGAAACGUGUGCUAAUACCGUAUACGCCCUUAGGGGGAAAGAUUUAUCGGGGAUGGAUGAGCCCGCGUUGGAUUAGCUAGUUGGUGGGGUAAAGGCCUACCAAGGCGACGAUCCAUAGCUGGUCUGGGAGGAUGAUCAGCCACAUUGGGACUGAGACACGGCCCAAACUCCUACGGGAGGCAGCAGUGGGGAAUAUUGGACAAUGGGCGCAAGCCUGAUCCAGCCAUGCCGCGUGAGUGAUGAAGGCCUUAGGGUUGUAAAGCUCUUUCACCGAUGAAGAUAAUGACGGUAGUCGGAGAAGAAGCCCCGGCUAACUUCGUGCCAGCAGCCGCGGUAAUACGAGGGGGGCUAGCGUUGUUCGGAAUUACUGGGCGUAAAGCGCAUGUAGGCGGGAUAUUUAAGUCA